rnacentral:misc_RNA from 2 species
ACGCGGCGACGAACAUCGUCCCGUGCCGUCCACCCGAGGCAGAGCCGUACUCCUCGUGAGCACGGACCAGCGGCGGUUAGACCGGAGCCACAAGGCAACAACGGAAGGUGAGUCGAUGCGGGCCUGUCCUGCAUCGACAGCUUACAGCCGUGUCGUCCGGCGCUCCGGCCCGACCGAGGAACAUGGGCAGCCCUUGCCCGCCGUGGUACACGCCGAAUGGCGGGGCCUCCCGACACGAGUGAAACGUGCGGUGUGGACUGCAUGCAGUGCAGGCCGUGACGGCGAUCUCGUGGCGGUGAGUGCCACUCGUGUGCCAGUGCUGCUGGUAUUCAGAC